GAUGAACGCCGGCGGCGUGCCUAAUACAUGCAAGUCGAGCGAACGGACGAGAAGCUUGCUUCUCUGAUGUUAGCGGCGGACGGGUGAGUAACACGUGGAUAACCUACCUAUAAGACUGGGAUAACUUCGGGAAACCGGAGCUAAUACCGGAUAAUAUUUUGAACCGCGUGGUUCAAAAGUGAAAGACGGUCUUGCUGUCACUUAUAGAUGGAUCCGCGCUGCAUUAGCUAGUUGGUAAGGUAACGGCUUACCAAGGCAACGAUGCAUAGCCGACCUGAGAGGGUGAUCGGCCACACUGGAACUGAGACACGGUCCAGACUCCUACGGGAGGCAGCAGUAGGGAAUCUUCCGCAAUGGGCGAAAGCCUGACGGAGCAACGCCGCGUGAGUGAUGAAGGUCUUCGGAUCGUAAAACUCUGUUAUUAGGGAAGAACAUAUGUGUAAGUAACUGUGCACAUCUUGACGGUACCUAAUCAGAAAGCCACGGCUAACUACGUG
rnacentral:rRNA from 1 species